rnacentral:rRNA from 1 species
UACGUAGGAGGCAAGCGUUGUCCGGAAUUACUGGGCGUAAAGGGCUCGUAGGCGGCCAACUAAGUCAGACGUGAAAUCCCUCGGCUUAACCGGGGAACUGCGUCUGAUACUGGAUGGCUUGAGUUUGGGAGAGGGAUGCGGAAUUCCAGGUGUAGCGGUGAAAUGCGUAGAUAUCUGGAGGAACACCGGUGGCGAAGGCGGCAUCCUGGACCAACACUGACGCUGAUGAGCGAAAGCCAGGGGAGCCAAACGGG